rnacentral:rRNA from 2 species
CACGCCGUAAACGGUGGAUGCUGGAUGUGGGGACCAUUCCACGGUCUCCGUGUCGGAGCCAACGCGUUAAGCAUCCCGCCUGGGGAGUACGGCCGCAAGGCUAAAACUCAAAGAAAUUGACGGGGGCCCGCACAAGCGGCGGAGCAUGCGGAUUAAUUCGAUGCAACGCGAAGAACCUUACCUGGGCUUGACAUGUUCCCGACAGCCGUAGAGAUACGGUCUCCCUUCGGGGCGGGUUCACAGGUGG